rnacentral:rRNA from 1 species
UACAGAGGGUGCAAGCGUUGUUCGGAAUUAUUGGGCGUAAAGGGCGCGUAGGCGGCCUGAUAAGUCAAAGGUGAAAUCCCUCGGCUCAACUGAGGAAUUGCCUUUGAAACUGUCAGGCUUGAGGCCGGGAGGGGGUGGCGGAAUUCCCAGUGUAGCGGUGAAAUGCGUAGAUAUUGGGAGGAACACCAGUGGCGAAGGCGGCCACCUGGACCGGUUCUGACGCUGAUGCGCGAAAGCGUGGGGAGCAAACAGG